rnacentral:rRNA from 1 species
CAUGGCUCAGAUUGAACGCUGGCGGCAUGCUUUACACAUGCAAGUCGAACGGCAGCGCGGGGCAACCUGGCGGCGAGUGGCGAACGGGUGAGUAAUAUAUCGGAACGUACCCAGAAGUGGGGGAUAACGUAGCGAAAGUUACGCUAAUACCGCAUACGAUCUACGGAUGAAAGUGGGGGACCUUCGGGCCUCAUGCUUGUGGAGCGGCCGAUAUCUGAUUAGCUAGUUGGUAGGGUAAAGGCCUACCAAGGCGACGAUCAGUAGCUGGUCUGAGAGGACGACCAGCCACACUGGGACUGAGACACGGCCCAGACUCCUACGGGAGGCAGCAGUGGGGAAUUUUGGACAAUGGGCGCAAGCCUGAUCCAGCAAUGCCGCGUGAGUGAAGAAGGCCUUCGGGUUGUAAAGCUCUUUUGUCAGGGAAGAAACGGCCAGAGCUAAUAUCUUUGGCUAAUGACGGUACCUGAAGAAUAAGCACCGGCUAACUACGUGCCAGCAGCCGCGGUAAUACGUAGGGUGCAAGCGUUAAUCGGAAUUACUGGGCGUAAAGCGUGCGCAGGCGGUUUUGUAAGUCUGACGUGAAAUCCCCGGGCUCAACCUGGAAAUUGCGUUGGAGACUGCAAGGCUGGAGUCUGGCAGAGGGGGGGUAGAAUUUCCACGUGUAGCAGUGAAAUGCGUAGAGACGUGGAGGGAACACCGAAUGGCGAAGGCAGCCCCCUGGGUCAAGACUGACGCCUCAUGCACGAAAGCGUGGGAGCAAACAGGAUUAGAAUAACCUU